GCGCAUGUGGCCCAGAGGUAGGGCGCCGGAUCAAAAGGUCCGGAAGUCGCGGGUUCGAUUCCUGUCAUGUGCUCCA
rnacentral:tRNA from 1 species